rnacentral:rRNA from 1 species
UACAGGGGGGGCAAGCGUUGUUCGGAAUUACUGGGCGUAGAGGGCGCGUAGGCGGCCAGCACAAGUCAGUUGUGAAAUCUCCGGGCUUAACUCGGAAAGGUCAACUGAUACUGUGCGGCUAGAGUGCAGAAGGGGCAACUGGAAUUCUCGGUGUAGCGGUGAAAUGCGUAGAUAUCGAGAGGAACACCUGCGGCGAAGGCGGGUUGCUGGGCUGACACUGACGCUGAUGCGCGAAAGCCAGGGGAGCGAACGGG